AACGGCGAGUGAAGCGGCAACAGCUCAAAUUUGAAAUCUGGUCCCCAGGGCCCGAGUUGUAAUUUGCAGAGGAUGCUUUUGACAAGGUGCCUUCCGAGUUCCCUGGAACGGGACGCCAUAGAGGGUGAGAGCCCCGUCUGGUCGGACACCGAGUCUCUGUAAAGCUCCUUCGACGAGUCGAGUAGUUUGGGAAUGCUGCUCUAAAUGGGAGGUAUAUGUCUUCUAAAGCUAAAUACCGGCCAGAGACCGAUAGCGCACAAGUAGAGUGAUCGAAAGAUGAAAAGCACUUUGAAAAGAGAGUUAAACAGCACGUGAAAUUGUUGAAAGGGAAGCGUUUAUGACCAGACUUGGCCCGGUUGAUCAUCCAGCGUUCUCGCUGGUGCACUCUGCCGGUCCAGGCCAGCAUCAGUUUGCCGCGGGGGAUAAAGGUUUCGGGAAUGUGGCUCCCUCCGGGGAGUGUUAUAGCCCGUUGCGUAAUACCCUGCGGUGGACUGAGGUCCGCGCUUCUGCAAGGAUGCUGGCGUAAUGGUCAUCAACGACCCGUCUUGAAACACGGACCAAGGAGUCGUCUUCGUAUGCGAGUGUUCGGGUGUAAAACCCCUACGCGUAAUGAAAGUGAACGCAGGUGAGAGCUUCGGCGCAUCAUCGACCGAUCCUGAUGUUCUCGGAUGGAUUUGAGUAAGAGCAUACGGGGCCGGACCCGAAAGAAGGUGAACUAUGCCUGUAUAGGGUGAAGCCAGAGGAAACUCUGGUGGAGGCUCGCAGCGGUUCUGACGUGCAAAUCGAUCGUCAAAUAUGGGCAUGGGGGCGAAAGACUAAUCGA
rnacentral:rRNA from 1 species